rnacentral:rRNA from 1 species
CAACUCCUUGAGUGGUGAGGAUUAUUAUUGGGCUUAAAGCGUUCGUAGCUGGCCUGACUAGUCCCGCGUUAAAUCCAACGACCUAAUCGUUGGGCUGCGGGGGACACGGUCAGGCUUGGGGGCGGGAGAGGUUAGCGGUAUUCCCGGGGUAGGGGUGAAAUCUUAUAAUCCCGGGAGGACCAGCAGUGGCGAAGGCAGCUAACCAGAACGCGCCCGACGGUGAGGGACGAAAGCUGGGGGAGCGAACCGGAUUAGAUACCCGAGUAGUCC